rnacentral:rRNA from 1 species
GACGAACGCUGGCGGCGUGCCUAAUACAUGCCAGUUGAGCGAUGAAGAUUGGUGCUUGCACCAAUUUGAAGAGCAGCGAACGGGUGAGUAACGCGUGGGGAAUCUGCCUUUGAGCGGGGGACAACAUUUGGAAACGAAUGCUAAUACCGCAUAACAACUUUAAACAUAAGUUUUAAGUUUGAAAGAUGCAAUUGCAUCACUCAAAGAUGAUCCCGCGUUGUAUUAGCUAGUUGGUGAGGUAAAGGCUCACCAAGGCGAUGAUACAUAGCCGACCUGAGAGGGUGAUCGGCCACAUUGGGACUGAGACACGGCCCAAACUCCUACGGGAGGCAGCAGUAGGGAAUCUUCGGCAAUGGACGAAAGUCUGACCGAGCAACGCCGCGUGAGUGAAGAAGGUUUUCGGAUCGUAAAACUCUGUUGGUAGAGAAGAACGUUGGUGAGAGUGGAAAGCUCAUCAAGUGACGGUAACUACCCAGAAAGGGACGGCUAACUACGU